rnacentral:rRNA from 1 species
UAAUACGGAGGGUGCAAGCGUUAUCCGGAUUUAUUAGGUUUAAAGGGUCCGCAGGCGGAAUAUUAAGUCAGUGGUGAAAGCCUACAGCUCAACUGUAGAACUGCCAUUGAAACUGUUAUUCUUGAGUAUGGAUGAAGUGGGCGGAAUAUGUCAUGUAGCGGUGAAAUGCAUAGAUAUGACAUGGAACACCAAUUGCGAAGGCAGCUCACUAAACCAUUACCGACGCUCAUGGACGAAAGCGUGGGGAGCGAACAGGAUUAGAUACCCUGGUAGUCCACGCCGUAAACGAUGAUCACUAGAUGUUGGCGAUAUAAUGUCAGCGUUCAAGAGAAAUCGAUAAGUGAUCCACCUGGGGAGUACGUUCGCAAGAAUG